UUGAUAGUUUCCACAGUGUUCUUGUGACGCAUGCAUAUGAGUGAGAUGUCUGACCGACGUCAUCAGAUAUACAGGUAAAUCUACAGAUGGAGGGAGGCUUGUGUAAUCUGUUAGUGUAAUUUCCACGCUCUAAGGAAAGACAAGCUUAACAUACCAUUGGAUAUAAUACCUAUAUAUGAUACAAUAUCAAUUUACCAACUGCCAUGUCCUCGUAAAAAAAACAGUCUACAGUGACUCUUCUGUUUCUGGGGUUCACUGUGAAACAAGCAUAUACAUAUGUUCUAGCUGACAUCUAUAAUGCCCUGUCCCCAGCCAUGAACCUGUGCAAAUAUAUUCUGCCAACACCCCUCCCUCACCAUCCUUAACGUGCUUAAUUUCUUAGAGCGGCAUUUAGAACUUGGUGUGAUGAAAGACGGGGAAAGUUCUAUAGAUAUACAUCUUCUUACGCGAUGUAAUUGUAAGCGAUGUAAUUCAAGCUUAUGAGAUUCAUAUUCACACACGUACGUGUUUGAUUACAAAAAGACCAUGAUAUAUUACGUGCGCUUUUCAGACAUUUUAGGAAAUGAAAUUUAUGAAAAUGUUACGUUCCUGUGGUCUUUCAUAUUGUUCUCAGUUUAUUCAUGCUAAAUGCCACCAUUAGUUUGGCAGCAAGGUUACAUGCAAGUUCAGAAAUCUAGUAGACACAGGAAAAACGCAUAAACAAAA